AUUCUUAGCCCUUGAUUCUUAUCCUCAAAGUGGCCUUAUGGUCUAAGAUGGCUGUUGAUGUCUAGCCAUUACAUCCAUGAUCCAGACAAGAGACAGGAAGAAGAAGAGAUGGACAAAAAUAAUGUGCAUAGUCAUUCAUCGUCUUCUAAAAGGUAAUUCUCAUAAUCAUCUCCAAUAAUAUCAACUCUUCUCUUAGUAAUCAAAACUUAGUUUCAUGGAUACACCUAGCUACAAAGGAGGCUGAAAGAUAAUCAGAUUCUGUUAUUGAGAAAGAAGAUAAGAAUGGGUCUCUUGGAAGCAAUUAGCAGUCUCUGCUCUUGUCACUGUAGAACAAGAUGUUCAGAAAAAUACACCGAAUACUUAAAUUUUAAAAAUUACAGUAAAAGACGCUGCCGUUGCUCUCCUUCACUUGGAACCCCCUUGCCCUACAGUGCUUGCCGCUUUCUGAAGCAGAUCUAAAUGUUCUUUUCCAUGAGCGUCUUCACAUGUGCUGUGCAGGGUGCUUUACUGUCCUGCACUGACUCAGGGUCAUUUUGACUUGGGGAAGAGCCAGAAGUUUCGUGUUACCAAGUAAGGUAGAUGAGGACACAUUGUAAUGUUUUAUGAGCCUGACUUUCCAUUGGGUGACUUGUCGCAGCAGUAUUUUUUUAUCACAAUAUUUUUUAUCACCAUAUUUUUUAAUCACAACUGAUAAAAAACACUCAUGAAAGACUUCCAGAAUUGUUUUAGAAAAUGGUAAGAACAAGAGAUAAGUGUAUUGGAAGUGGAAGGGGAUUAAGGCAAUGUGUCUUUUACUACAGUAAUGUUUAAAAUUUCAAACAUUGUGAUUGUAUCUCAUAUCUCAAGAUCUACCUAUUAUCUUUCAGUGAAGGUUUGUGAAAGAAUGAAUUUGCCCCUCUACAAACGAAAGAACAGAUAACUCUGGACACAGAGCUUCAAGGAAAACUAGUGGAACAGGAAAUGUCAUACUGCAGUCAUAGAAACCAGCCACAGUGAUGUACACGGAUCAUCUUCAGGAGUCCCCCACUUCCAGUUGUAUAAAUUGCAUAAAUUCUCAGAGCGAGGAUGUUGAGAGUGUGGAUCUGCAGCUGAGGCUUCACCCAGGAACGGAAGGGAGGCAGAUUCUCAACCCCACCACCUACCUACUUGAAUCAGAGGCUCCGGAGGUGGUGCUGUCAUUGAGAGUUUGUGCAGUUUCCAAGGAGAUUUUGCAGCAAAACUAAGUGAGUAUCAGCACCCUGAGAGGGGCCACAGGUCUACAGUUAACAUUCUACUUAUAGCUUUCUAAUCUCUUGUAACUCACUUCUCCAAAUUGUAUAAAGCUCAGGACUCUCAUCUGGGUCCAUUUCUGGUCUUAACUUUCCCCUCUAACAUUAAAGUCGAGUUUGUUUGAGCCUAUGCAACUUUACAUCUCAUGCAAAUUGUGUGAUUUGGCUAAAAUGUUUGAACUCGACAUGGAACAACAUGAAAAUGUGGGUUACAUGUAGAGAUAGAGAUUCAUAUAUAUACCAAGAACUGAACCUCCAGCUUUCAGUGCACGUGUUCUACAGCAUUGCCCUGGGCUCACAUUGUUCUACAUUGCCCUGGGCUCACAGAUCGGCUACAGCCUGGCACUGUUUGAGGUUGGAAGAGGCCCAGGAAUCAGGCCUCUGAAAGCUGCCACUGCAAACCAGGUAUCUUGAGUGCAGCCACCAUCCCACUUCCACCAAGAUGUCCAGGCCUCCUUGGCUGAAGGGCUCUGCCUGCUUCAUCCAGGUGAAGCUGCUGCGAGGUGAUGCCUGAGUUACCAGUCCACCACAGUUGCAUAAAGACCAGGAGCAGGUUAAGGCAGAAUUGCAAAAUGAUGUUGCUGUCAUAGCCUUGAGGCCCUCCAAUCCCUACACCGACAAGGAAAUACCCAGCGGGUAAGUAGGAGUUGGUGGACAUAGAACAUGAUGUGGAACUCUGUUAUGGUUUGGAUCUUGAAUCACCCCCAAAGUCUUCCUAAUGUGUUAGGGUCUUGGCCCUCAGCUGACGGUGCCACCUGGAAGCCAAGCCCUUGGAGGGGACACUGAGACCCUGACCCUUCCUCUUUCUUUUAGCUUCCCAAUUGCCAUGAGGUGAGCAGGUUUGUCCUGCCACACGACCCCCACCAGGAUGGAACCCAGUGACCACGGACUAAAUAUGAAACCUUGAGGCAAUGUAAGUCUUUCUUCCUUCUAAGUUGAUUAUCUCAGGUAUU
ensembl:lincRNA